GGUGCCAUUGUUGUUGAUUCCAUUGUUCAUGGCCAUCUGAAAAGCUAAGGAACUGUUCAAACCUUGAAAUAAACUUGAACACCCUGCAGUUGUGUAAUUGAGGAGCCCCAUGACAUCAACAAGAAUGACGACGAUGAUGCGGAGGAGGAGGACCUCAACUACACACCACACAAAGUCCCUAUUGUCUGUCGGCAAUGGCUUCCUUCCCUGCAGCAGACCUGGACCCCAUGCCCAAGCUCACGAGGUCACCGUUGAGUCCGACCUCCACCUCGAUCAUGACGACGACGACCCGCACAAGGUCGAUCCCUACUUUACCACAAAUAUGUUCUUUCUUUUGUGAAGUAACAGUUCCUUGCUUUGUGUAAUGUUAAGAAACUGUUUGUUGAGACAACAAUUAGUCUCUCC